GAUGAACGCUGGCGGCGUGCUUAACACAUGCAAGUCGAACGAUGAAGCCCAGCUUGCUGGGUGGAUUAGUGGCGAACGGGUGAGUAACACGUGAGUAACCUGCCCUUGACUCUGGGAUAAGCCUGGGAAACUGGGUCUAAUACUGGAUAUGACUUCUCAUCGCAUGGUGGGGGGUGGAAAGAUUUAUUGGUCUUGGAUGGACUCGCGGCCUAUCAGCUUGUUGGUGAGGUAAUGGCUCACCAAGGCGACGACGGGUAGCCGGCCUGAGAGGGUGACCGGCCACACUGGGAAUGAGACACGGCCCAGACUCCUACGGGAGGCAGCAGUGGGGAAUAUUGCACAAUGGGCGCAAGCCUGAUGCAGCGACGCCGCGUGAGGGAUGACGGCCUUCGGGUUGUAAACCUCUUUCAGUAGGGAAGAAGCGAGAGUGACGGUACCUGCAGAAGAAGCGCCGGCUAACUACGUG
rnacentral:rRNA from 1 species